rnacentral:rRNA from 1 species
UACGGGGGGGGCAAGCGUUGUUCGGAAUUACUGGGCGUAAAGCGUGCGCAGGCGGCGCCGCAAGUCAGGCGUGAAAUCCCCCGAGCUUAACUUGGGAAUGGCGCUUGAAACUACGGUGCUGGAGUGUGGCGAGAGGAGGGUGGAAUUCCACGUGUAGCGGUGAAAUGCGUAGAGAUGAUGGAGGAACACCGAUGGCGAAGGCAGCCUCCUGGCCAACACUGACGCUCAGUGCACGAAAGCGUGGGGAGCAA